ensembl:miRNA
CUUAGGAGUCUGUGUGUUCUGUCGGAUGAGCUGCUGAGUACAAGAAUGUUCUGGGGAAGGGGCAGCAGAGGCGUGUUAGGG